AUUGAACGCUGGCGGCAGGCCUAACACAUGCAAGUCGAACGGUAACAGGAAACAGCUUGCUGUUUCGCUGACGAGUGGCGGACGGGUGAGUAAUGUCUGGGCAACUGCCUGAUGGAGGGGGAUAACUACUGGAAACGGUAGCUAAUACCGCAUAACGUCGCAAGACCAAAGAGGGGGACCUUCGGGCCUCUUGCCAUCGGAUGUGCCCAGAUGGGAUUAGCUAGUAGGUGGGGUAACGGCUCACCUAGGCGACGAUCCCUAGCUGGUCUGAGAGGAUGACCAGCCACACUGGAACUGAGACACGGUCCAGACUCCUACGGGAGGCAGCAGUGGGGAAUAUUGCACAAUGGGCGCAAGCCUGAUGCAGCCAUGCCGCGUGUAUGAAGAAGGCCUUCGGGUUGUAAAGUACUUUCAGCGGGGAGGAAGGGAGUAAAGUUAAUACCUUUGCUCAUUGACGUUACCCGCAGAAGAAGCACCGGCUAACUCCGUG
rnacentral:rRNA from 1 species